ACGGGAGGCAGCAGUGGGGAAUAUUGCACAAUGGGGGAAACCCUGAUGCAGCGACGCCGCGUGAGUGAUGAAGUAUUUCGGUAUGUAAAGCUCUAUCAGCAGGGAAGAAAAUGACGGUACCUGACUAAGAAGCACCGGCUAAUUCCGUGCCAGCAGCCGCGGUAAUACGGAAGAUGCGAGCGUUAUCCGGAUUUAUUGGGUUUAAAGGGAGCGUAGGCGGUCCUUUAAGUCAGCGGUCAAAUGUCAGCGCCCAACGCUGGCCUGCCGUUGAUACUGGAGGACUUGAAUACACACAAGGAAGGUGGAAUUCGUCGUGUAGCGGUGAAAUGCUUAGAUAUGACGAAGAACUCCGAUUGCGAAGGCAGCCUUCUGGAGUGCGAUUGACGCUGAGGCUCGAAAGCGCGGGUAUCAAACAGGAUUAGAUACCCUGGUA
rnacentral:rRNA from 1 species